GGCCCAGAACGCGGGCGGAGCGCAACAUGCCGACUGUCCUCCAACCAGAAUGCUCAGAAUGAGGAAGACAGGUGUGGCGCUGUGAGCGAGCCCUUAGAUCUCGUAUCCAAGACUCUCCCUGUUUCUCCCUAGCUCCUGGCAUGCUAGGUAGCGGUGUCUCUGUACGCCAGACUAUUCCCCACAGGCCGGCAUCGGCCCUCCGAUGUUGCGUACGGUGUUGCCACGGAACGCCCGGAGCCGGAUGUGACGUCGCCGUGGAGGAAGAAGGGAGAGGUGGAGCGUGGCGCGGUGACGUCCUUCCAACAUGGCGGAGAGAGAGUGAAGAAACUGUGUUCCCCUUUGGGUUACUAUAGAGCAAGGGUAAAAUUCGAUUCUGAUAUCAAAAUGCAGUAUUCGCACCACUGUGAGCACCUUUUAGAGAGACUGAACAAACAACGGGAAGCAGGUUUUCUUUGUGACUGCACCAUAGUAAUUGGGGAAUUCCAGUUUAAAGCUCAUAGGAAUGUGCUUGCCUCGUUUAGUGAGUAUUUUGGUGCGAUCUACAGAAGCACUUCAGAGAACAAUGUCUUUCUUGAUCAGAGUCAGGUGAAGGCUGAUGGAUUUCAGAAACUGUUGGAAUUUAUAUACACAGGAACUUUAAAUCUUGACAGUUGGAAUGUUAAAGAAAUCCAUCAGGCUGCUGACUAUCUCAAAGUGGAAGAGGUGGUCACUAAAUGUAAAAUAAAGAUGGAAGAUUUUGCUUUUAUUGCUAAUCCCUCUUCUACAGAGAUAUCUAGUAUUACCGGAAACAUUGAAUUGAAUCAACAGACUUGUCUCCUUACUCUACGAGAUUAUAACAGUCGGGAGAAAUCAGAAGGGUCUACAGAUUUAGUUCAGGCAAAUCCUAAACAAGGGGCUUUAGCAAAGAAGUCAUCUCAAACUAAAAAGAAGAAGAAGGCCUUCAACUCCCAGAAAACAGGGCAGAAUAAAACAGUGCAAUAUCCCAGUGACAUUUUAGAGAAUGCAUCAGUUGAAGUAUAUCUAGAUGCAAAUAAAUUGUCCACACCUGUAAUAGAACAAGUUGCACAAAGAAAUAAUUCAGAACUUGAGUUGACAUCAGUUGUGGAAAAUACUUUUCCAGCACAAGAUAUUGUGCAAACUGUCACAGUGAAACGGAAACGUGGAAAAUCACAGCCAAACUGUGCUCUGAAAGAACACUCUAUGUCUAAUAUAGCCAGUGUCAAGAACUCUUAUGAGCUGGAGAGCUCCGGGGAAGAGCUGGAUCAGAGGUAUUCCAAGGCCAAACCAAUGUGUAACACGUGUGGGAAAGUGUUUUCAGAAGCCAGCAGCUUGCGAAGGCACAUGAGAAUACAUAAAGGAGUCAAACCUUAUGUCUGCCACUUGUGUGGAAAGGCAUUUACCCAAUGUAACCAGCUGAAAACGCAUGUAAGAACUCAUACAGGUGAGAAGCCAUACAAAUGUGAAUUGUGUGAUAAAGGAUUUGCUCAGAAAUGCCAGCUAGUCUUCCAUAGUCGCAUGCAUCAUGGUGAGGAAAAACCCUAUAAAUGUGAUGUAUGCAAUUUACAAUUUGCAACUUCUAGCAAUCUCAAGAUUCAUGCAAGGAAGCAUAGUGGAGAGAAGCCAUAUGUAUGUGAUAGGUGCGGACAGCGAUUUGCCCAAGCCAGCACAUUGACCUAUCAUGUUCGAAGGCAUACGGGAGAAAAGCCUUAUGUGUGUGACACCUGUGGGAAGGCAUUUGCUGUCUCUAGUUCUCUUAUUACUCAUUCUCGAAAACAUACCGGUGAAAAACCAUACAUAUGUGGUAUUUGUGGGAAAAGUUUUAUUUCCUCAGGAGAGCUCAACAAACACUUUCGAUCCCAUACAGGAGAAAGACCAUUUAUCUGUGAAUUAUGUGGAAAUUCUUACACAGAUAUUAAAAAUUUAAAGAAGCACAAAACAAAAGUCCAUUCUGGUACAGAUAAAAUUCUAGAUUCCAGUAUAGAGGAUCAUCCCUUGAGUGAACAAGAUUCCAUACAAAAAAGUCCUUUAUCAGAAACUUUGGAUGUGAAGCCUUCUGAUAUGACUUUACCACUAACUCUUCCACUUGGGACUGAGGACCACCACAUGCUUCUGCCUGUUACAGAUAAUCAGUCUCCUACAUCAGAUACAUUGUUGAGGUCAACUGUGAACGGGUAUUCAGAACCACAAUUGAUUUUUUUACAACAAUUAUACUGACUUUGUGAGGAAUAUGGAAUUGCUAAAUCGUCUCUGGUAGUAAACAUAAACAUCUCUGGAAUUUAUUGGAAUGUGAAGAAAUUAAAGAAAAUUAAGACUCAGCCUUUUUAAGAAGUCUGCUGAAAUGGAGAGGCUAUAUUUAAUUCACAUCUUCAUUAAUCCAAGCAUCUAAUGAACAAAAUUUCUUUUUAAAAGCUGCUGUAGUGAUGUCAUAAUUCUGUAAGGGUAGUAGUUACCAAAUUUCCUCUAACAUGAUGAUAAUUAGCAUUUGCCUUUACAUAAAUUAGUCUUUAAAUUUAUUAUAUUUAGGAUUAUUGGAGUGACUGAAGUUGAUCUAUUCUCUUCAUCACAUUAUCUGCUUCUUAGCUAAAAUAAUUUUAUUUUAAAUUGACAUGGCUUGACGCUCUUCCAGAAUGACAUGUAAAGAAAGCUUGAAGACUGAGUAUCUUUGUCUUGUCAUUCUUCUCAUAAUGCUGUAUUAUUCUUUAUCAUAACAUGCAUGUAUUUUAGUUGUAUCUGCUAUCAUUGUAACACUCACAAUUAUCAGUUAAGUUCAUCUUUAAAUAUAUUUGCUACAAUGCAGUGUUUUGGGAAAGUUCUAUUCUUAAUUAUGUAAGUAUUACUAAGUUUUUUGAAAGUCUUUUUAGGAUGCUGAACAUCUUAUUGAGAAAUUAUUUUCUAAGUUAAUUUUGUUUUGUAUUUGUAUUAGAUUAUUCUUUCUGUAUCGUUAGGUUUUAGGCUUUUUAAAAAACCAUAGAUUAUAUAUAAAUGAUUUUUUGCUGGUAUUUGUUUUAUGUUUAAUUUCAUAGAAUGAUUUUGAUAGACAGAUUUUAGAAAAUUGUUUUAUUUUUUACAAAAGAAAAGGUUCUGUCAUUUCUCUUGCAACAAUAGUGUGUCACUUUUCUGUAUGUUUCAUUUCUACAGCAAUUGUACAAAUGAGAGUAGUUGAAAUGUGCUUAUAUAAAGACAAUCUACAUGUACUCAUUUUUUUAAAUAUCCUAGAACAGUAACUGACAUUUGAUGCAUAUCAGAAACAUAGCUUAAAAAUAGUGGUGUCCAAGCGCCACCCCACCUUAGGCUCUCUGAAUCAGAAGAUCUCCAGAACAUGCUGAAAAGCUCCAUAGGUAAUCUUAAUGCAUACCAAACACUGAGAACUAUCAUCCUAAACAUUUCUUGGUGUUCUUCCUUUGGGCUCUUGAUAUGUGAUAUGUAGGCUCUAUUUUUUUUUCUUUUGGCCGCACCACGCGGCUUGCAGGGAUCUUAGUUCCCCGACCAGGGAUUGAACCCGGGCCCUCGGCAGUGAAAGUGCAGAGUCCUAACCACUGCACUGCCAGGGAAGUCUCUCUGUGGGCUCUUGAUAAAUGAAGCUCUUGAUAUAACUUUUCACUUUUUACUCAGAGAUUUUGAGUCUUUAGAACUUGGCUAGAAAUACCACCAAAUAAAAAGAAAUUGUACUUUAAUGCAAUUUCUGUAAAUUCUACAUUUUUACUCAUUAUGUAUGAACAAUACCGAUAUUUAGUUAUUGGAGCAUUUCUUGAGACAGUGAUAUGGUCUACUCGCCUGUCCUCUACAACCCCUGCCCCUCCUUUCACUGAACAGAGAUUUGGUGUAUUUGCUUAAGGAAUUUAGAUAAUUAUCAUGUAAACACAGUAAUCAUUCAGAAAUAGGGUAUUUAAUUUCAAGAAUAUACUGAAAUAAACACCAUGGAUGUGAAUCAGAUAUUUGGAUUAAAAUAUCUGGCCAUUAUUUCAAAUGCUGGAAAAUUAUUGAAAUCAGAAUACAUACAGCUGUAAAGAUGAAUAAAAUGAUCUCCUCUUUUAAGUUUACAGUCAAGUGGGAAAGACAAGCCUGAAUGCCAAGUGUUAUAGUGGAGGAAGGAAAGAAAGGAAAUGCUGAGCAGUCAAUGGAAGUUGAGUGGACAGAGAAAGGGCUGUUACUCCCCUGGAUAGGCAAACAAGAGGAGAUUGCUAAUGGGAGGAAUUUGUACACAGCUGACUGAGGUAGGGAGAAUGGAGAGAAAGUCUGAAAGGUGGUGGCAGAGAUAGGAAUCAAAGACACAUCUAGCACUAUCUAUACCACCUUGAAAUAGUCCUCUACCUUUAGCCUGUGCUGAAAGAGUGGGAUUAGAUAGCCAUGUUUAUAAUCCAGGAUCUCACACACUCAACUACAGUUGACUGCUGAAGGGCAGGGAUUAGACAGCCACACUUGUAACAUAUGAUUCUAUACUUGUGACCACAGCUGACGAACAGCUUACCAGGGAGAAACAAUCCUUAGGCCAAACGGAGCGACUUUCUUCAGAAUUUGAGCUAUGAAAUUCAGAGACUUCCUAGGUAUUGGUGUACAUGGAAAAGAUCAUUUAGAUCUGGUCCAGAGUCACUGAAGCAAGCCAAAGUCUAAAAGAAAUAGUGAAGAAGCAGAGAAAGCUGACCUGUAGAGCGAAGCAAGGGGAUGAAGUAGGUUUGCAGAACCAAGCGACUGAGGCCCUGUGAGAGAAGUGGCUUGGUUUCUGGCUUUGCAGACCUUUCUUGAGGUCACACAGCUAUGCUUCAUUUCCUUGUUCUGCAUGCCAGUGAUUUUUGCCUAUUAAAUUCUUACAGUAAA